rnacentral:rRNA from 1 species
UACGUAGGGUGCAAGCGUUGUCCGGAAUUAUUGGGCGUAAAGAGCGUGUAGGCGGCCAGGUAGGUCUGCUGUGAAAACUCGAGGCUCAACCUCGAGACGUCGGCGGAAACCAUCUGGCUAGAGUCCGGAAGAGGAGAGUGGAAUUCCUGGUGUAGCGGUGAAAUGCGCAGAUAUCAGGAAGAACACCCGUGGCGAAAGCGGCUCUCUGGGACGGUACUGACGCUGAGACGCGAAAGCGUGGGGAGCGAACAGG